UGUGUGUGUGUGUGUGUGUGUGUGUGUGUGUGUGUGUGUGUGUGUGUGAUUGUUGCAUCAGCCACUGACUGCAAGGUGUUUGUGUAGAGGUGCUUUUAAGAGGAGUACUAUUUAUUGAGAAGUAGUCAGCCUUUUCCCCCACCUGCCCUUCAGUGUCCCUGUCGAUUGGCCCCACAUUGGUAAUGCCUGGCUGACCACAGCACCCUUUAAAGGGGCCAAAGGUUAGGCAAAACAGUGUCUGGUGUCAUGGCAACCUGGCUGCCACCAACCAGUCUCACUGAAAGAGAGUUAUCAGGGUAGGUCAAUCAAACAAGGUUCAAAACCACUUGCAGGGUUUCAAAUGGGCAGAAAAACAUACAUGCCCUGUUCAAAUGAUCUCAGUAAGCAGAAACCCACAAACAAUUUAGUACUAUACUGAAAUCUCUGUCAGAACCCAAACUCCCAGAAGUCUGCCCUUCAACAUGACACCUCCAUAUUGGACUCCAAACAGCUUACUGUACCAAACUACUAACCACAUCAUAUGUUCAAGCACAUCAUACAUUCAUCAGAUCAUAAUCACCAGACUUGGUGCUGGUUCAAAUCAGGAACUAUACUCUAAAUAUUAAGCACUUUAAACCAUGACAGCAUAAGAGUAUCAAGCGCGGUCAUGUACUGUCAGAUUUCCAAGAAAAAACCAAAUAGCCUUGUACAGCCUUCACUUCCCUGUAUACUGUACAUUAUGUUCUAUAUAUAAUCAUAGCCAUUGCUACGUAAUUUUAAUAAAGCUGCAGGCUUUAAAAGCAUACCUUGUUCCAUUGCCCAUAAUUACUAUAUAUUAUAAAUAUUUAAUAAUAUCAUUCAGAAAAGUCUCUAUGGAAUUCUGCUUAGACAGAAUUAAAUAUUUCCUUUUUAAAUUGUUUAAAAAGUUUAAAAAGUGUUGUCUGGAAUAAAUGAUAUAUAUACUCUCUGUCCAGGGUGUAUCCUGCCUUGAUGCCCGAUAACGCCUGAGCCAGGCACAGGCUCCCGUGACCCGAGGUAGUUCGGAUAAGUGGUAGAAAAUGAAUGAAUAUAUACAUAUACAUAGUGCACUGCAGUGAAAUGUAUGGUAUUGUAUUACAGUACUGUAAGAAUAUAGAAUACAAAUAAAGAAGAAGACACAAAUAUAUAGAUUAACUUAGUGGUUUUGUGGUUAGUUCAACAGACCUAAAGCUUGAAUUUUUAAGGAAAUGCAAAAGCUUCCUUUAGUAAGACAGUAAACCAAACAUGCAUAUAAAAUACCACACAACAGAAACAUUAUCAAGAGAAUUUUUCAUAACACAACAAAGUUGAAGCCAUUGCAUGUAGAUACAAUACCACUGUUUGGGUCUGUAGGGUUUUAUGAUUACUGUAGCAUACUGUAACACAGCAUAGCACAGUAAUUUCUUCAGGCAUAACAAGGUAGUAUGCAGAUGUUGUGUAGUAUGUAGAAGUAUAGUAGCUUGCAGUAUAUUGAAAUAUAGAAGCAUUAAAUGCAAUUUCAGUGAUUGCUCAACAUGGGCAAUGUGGUGGCCUGGGGAAACAGAAGACAUACAAAUGGAGAAAAGGAUGGAAGGAGCUGGAAGAAAACACCACCGAUUCCUUUGGAAUUUUCACUUCAAAAAACACCAUAAAAUUAUUAUGAUUACACACUGUUUAUUUCAAAUCCUAACUACAAACAUGCAGUGUGGUUAGACAUGACAUUUUGAAGACACAGAAACAUGGAUACUGGAGGAUCAUGAUAGGAGUAAGGGAGGAGGUGGAAUACAAUGAACAUACUGCACACACACAAAAAAUGUACUAAAAUGAAGCACCAGUG